UACGUAGGGUCCAAGCGUUGUCCGGAUUUAUUGGGCGUAAAGAGCUCGUAGGUGGCUCCGUAAGUCGGGUGUGAAAACCCCAGGCUCAACCUGGGGACGCCACUCGAUACUGCGGUAGCUAGAGUCUGGUAGGGGAUCUCGGAAUUCCUGGUGUAGCGGUGAAAUGCGCAGAUAUCAGGAGGAACACCAGUGGCGAAGGCGGAGAUCUGGGCCAGUACUGACACUGAGGAGCGAAAGCGUGGGGAGCGAACAGG
rnacentral:rRNA from 1 species